CCUAGUCAUACAAUUAGGUGGUUUCCUUUUCUUUCUCCUCCACAUAUCUUUGUGGUUCACUUAUGUAAACCAUGUGCCCCUAAUCAAUCCAAAGGUUCAACUUUUUCAAUAUUCCGACCAUGGAUUGGAUUUGAAGCUCGUAUAUUGUUUGAGAAUCUUGGGGCGAAGUUUACUUUCCAGUUUCAUCACAGGAAGAUGUAUUAACUCGGCUCAAUGAAAAUUGAAUGACGGACUUGGGGAACUCACAGAAUUGGGUAAUACCUCCGACCCGUUAUUCCGUCUUCUUCACCCGCGACCAACCCAAUGGUGGUCCGAAAUCUUACCUUUCUGUAUUCUGUUUGUUUACUCUGUUUUUAUUUCUUUCUUUUUUUAAUAUUUGAAAUCCUUUACCCGAUUCUCUGCAACUGCAAUUCUACAAGUCGGGUGAUUAGUUAUACAAUCGUUCGAAUUUGAUU